rnacentral:rRNA from 1 species
UACAGAGACCUCAAGCGUUAUCCGGAAUCAUUGGGCGUAAAGCGUACCGAUAGGUGGUUAUGCAAGUCAGAUGUGAAAUCUCCGAGCUCAACUCGGAAUCUGUCAUUUGAAACUGCACAACUAGAGGGGCAAAGAGGAAGCUAGAACGAACGGUGUAGUAGUGAAAUGCGUUGAUAUCGUUCGGAAUACCGAUAGCGAAGGCAGCUCGCUGGGACGGUACUGACGCUAAGGCGCGAAAGCGUGGGGAGCGAACAGG